AACAUCGCGCACCUGCGGGAACCUGCGGAGGGAUCAUUACUGAGUGCGGGUUCCAAUGAGCCCAACCUCCCACCCGUGUUUACCGUAACCGCGUUGCCUCGGCGGGCCCACUGGGGCCUGUCCCCGGUCGCCGGGGGGCAUCUGCCCCCGGGCCCGCGCCCGCCGAAGCGCCCUAGAACCCUGCCUGAACAGUGAGUCUGAGUGAGUGAUUGAAUCAUUAAAACUUUCAGCAACGGAUCU
rnacentral:misc_RNA from 1 species